CCUGAGCAGACCAGAGUACUGCCUGAGUACUGGCAAGUGCAUGCACUCAGGGAUGAAGCACCCUGCCAGGUCCCCAAGGGACAGGCCAGCAGAAUGCUUGAAGGCUAACAUUCCUCUUCCCUUCUGUUUAUUAUAAAAAGCUGAUUCUUCGCUACAAGACGGCCUGCUGAACUCUUCAAGAGGAACCUGUACUCUAAAAUACUUCCCAGCUCAGAUUUACAGAAAUGUCCCAGAAGAGCAAUGCCAAGGUUAUAGACCCUGGAAAACAAAACUUCAAGCACAAGAAUACAUUAUGAAGGUGGAUGAUGUCACCUGCCAUGGUCAGCGCAAGACAACUCCAGAUGACCAACUGCAUGCAGAGGAUCUGUGCACUCCAGAGGUUUGAGAGCCGCUUACUGGAAGACUCGGAGCCUCCCUCCCCCAGCCCAGCAGGGCUCAAUUGCAACAGCAGUCUUUCAGGUUCUCUACUGAAUGUAGGGCUGGAAAAUUGCCUUGGGGAGCCCUGCCAGGGCCUCUGGCCAAUGGAAACAGCAUUCCCUGUCACAAGCCCUGGAGUGUGCAAAAAGACGCAGAGAGAAAGUCAGGGGCUUUGUUUAGCUCCCAAGAGAGGCAGGGGUCCUGCACUCAACUCAGUAACUGAGUGGCUACUGGCCAGCUGCCUUUGGGAAGUAAGUGAGCCGUUUCUGCAUGGCCCUUUGUGGUCCUGAAUUACAGGGACUGGGAAUUAAAGCUAUAAGUGGAGCCUCAAACCAGAAGGAGUGGGGUCGAGGGCC